rnacentral:rRNA from 1 species
AACGGCCGUACCAUGCUGAAUAUACCGGGUCUCGUUAGAUCACCGAAGUCAAGCAUCAUUGGGCGCGAUCAGUACUUGGGUGGGUGACCACCUGGGAACACCGCGUGCCGUU